CAGUCGCCACGGUAAUACGUAGGUGGCAAGCGUUGUCCGGAAUUAUUGGGCGUAAAGGGCUCGCAGGCGGUUUCUUAAGUCUGAUGUGAAAGCCCCCGGCUCAACCGGGGAGGGUCAUUGGAAACUGGGAAACUUGAGUGCAGAAGAGGAGAGUGGAAUUCCACGUGUAGCGGUGAAAUGCGUAGAGAUGUGGAGGAACACCAGUGGCGAAGGCGACUCUCUGGUCUGUAACUGACGCUGAGGAGCGAAAGCGUGGGGAGCGAACAGGAUUGGAUACCCCUGUAGUCCCUGUCUCUUAUAC
rnacentral:rRNA from 1 species